UACGAAGGGGGCUAGCGUUGCUCGGAUUUACUGGGCGUAAAGGGCGCGUAGGCGGACGACCAAGUUGGGGGUGAAAGCCCGGGGCUCAACCUCGGAACUGCCUUCAAAACUGGUCGUCUUGAGUACGGGAGAGGUGUGUGGAACUCCGAGUGUAGAGGUGAAAUUCGUAGAUAUUCGGAAGAACACCAGUGGCGAAGGCGACACACUGGCCCGUUACUGACGCUGAGGCGCGAAAGCGUGGGGAGCAAACAGG
rnacentral:rRNA from 1 species